rnacentral:rRNA from 1 species
GUCUAUGGCCAAACCACCCUGAACAUGUCCCAUCUCGUCUGAUCUCGGAAGCUAAGCAGGGUCGGGCCUGGUCUUGGAUGGGAGAAGAGGGAUCCAAAGUACCACUUUCAGUGACCCUCAGGAGCACUGAAUG